rnacentral:snoRNA from 1 species
GCCCUUCUUAUGAUGAAGCAUUUACGGAUGUAAAUGAGCUGCGGCUCGCCAGUCCGAGAGCGCAAAACCCCAUGUGGAUUCCUCCGUUGCCUUCCUUCUGACCCUAUAGUC